GACGAACGCUGGCGGCGUGCUUAACACAUGCAAGUCGAACGGAAAGGCCCUGCUUUUGUGGGGUGCUCGAGUGGCGAACGGGUGAGUAACACGUGAGUAACCUGCCCUUGACUUUGGGAUAACUUCAGGAAACUGGGGCUAAUACCGGAUAGGAGCUCCUGCUGCAUGGUGGGGGUUGGAAAGUUUCGGCGGUUGGGGAUGGACUCGCGGCUUAUCAGCUUGUUGGUGGGGUAGUGGCUUACCAAGGCUUUGACGGGUAGCCGGCCUGGGAGGGUGACCGGCCAAAUGGGGACAGAGAUCCGGCCCAGGCCCCCAGGGGAGGCAGCAGGGGGGAAUAUUGAACAAGGGAGGGAAGCCGAAUGAAGCAACGCCGGGGGCGGGAAGAGGGCCUUGGGGUGGGAAACAGCUUUCGCCUGUGACAAAGCGUGAGGGCAGGAAAUGGUGAAAGAAGCACCGGAUAAAAAGGG
rnacentral:rRNA from 1 species